CCUACGGGAGGCAGCAGUGGGGAAUUUUGGACAAUGGGCGCAAGCCUGAUCCAGCCAUGCCGCGUGCGGGAAGAAGGCCUUCGGGUUGUAAACCGCUUUUGUCAGGGAAGAAAUCUUCUGAGUUAAUACCUCGGGAGGAUGACGGUACCUGAAGAAUAAGCACCGGCUAACUACGUGCCAGCAGCCGCGGUAAUACGUAGGGUGCGAGCGUUAAUCGGAAUUACUGGGCGUAAAGCGUGCGCAGGCGGUCUUGCAAGACAGGUGUGAAAUCCCCGGGCUUAACCUGGGAACUGCACUUGUGACUGCAAGGCUGGAGUACGGCAGAGGGGGAUGGAAUUCCGCGUGUAGCAGUGAAAUGCGUAGAUAUGCGGAGGAACACCGAUGGCGAAGGCAAUCCCCUGGGCCUGUACUGACGCUCAUGCACGAAAGCGUGGGGAGCAAACAGGAUUAGAUACCCUGGUAGUCCACGCCCUAAACGAUGUCAACUGGUUGUUGGACGGCUUGCUGUUCAGUAACGAAGCUAACGCGUGAAGUUGACCGCCUGGGGAGUACGGCCGCAAGGUUGAAACUCAAAGGAUUGACGGCGNGAGAGNGCGAGACGACGACGAGGGAGGAGG
rnacentral:rRNA from 1 species